rnacentral:rRNA from 1 species
GAUGAACGCUGGCGGCGUGCCUAAUACAUGCAAGUCGAGCGAACGGACGAGAAGCUUGCUUUUCUGAUGUUAGCGGCGGACGGGUGAGUAACACGUGGAUAACCUACCUAUAAGACUGGGAUAACUUCGGGAAACCGGAGCUAAUACCGGAUAAUAUUUUGAACCGCAUGGUUCAAAAGUGAAAGACGGUCUUGCUGUCACUUAUAGAUGGAUCCGCGCUGCAUUAGCUAGUUGGUAAGGUAACGGCUUACCAAGGCAACGAUGCAUAGCCGACCUGAAAGGGUGAUCGGCCACACUGGAACUGAGACACGGUCCAGACUCCUACGGGAGGCAGCAGUAGGGAAUCUUCCGCAAUGGGCGAAAGCCUGACGGAGCAACGCCGCGUGAGUGAUGAAGGUCUUCGGAUCGUAAAACUCUGUUAUUAGGGAAGAACAUAUGUGUAAGUAACUGUGCACAUCUUGACGGCACCUAAUCAGAAAGCCACGGCUAACUACGUG